CCCUUAGAGUUUGAUCCUGGCUCAGAUUGAACGCUGGCGGCAUGCCUUACACAUGCAAGUCGAACGGCAGCACGGGGGGUAACCCCUGGUGGCGAGUGGCGAACGGGUGAGUAAUACAUCGGAACGUAUCCUGUAGCGGGGGAUAACCUCUCGAAAGAGAGGCUAAUACCGCAUACGACCUACGGGUGAAAGAGGGGGAUCGCAAGACCUCUCACUAUAGGAGCGGCCGAUGUCGGAUUAGCUAGUUGGUGGGGUAAAAGCCCACCAAGGCUACGAUCCGUAGCUGGUCUGAGAGGACGACCAGCCACACUGGAACUGAGACACGGUCCAGACUCCUACGGGAGGCAGCAGUGGGGAAUUUUGGACAAUGGGCGCAAGCCUGAUCCAGCCAUGCCGCGUGGGUGAAGAAGGCCUUCGGGUUGUAAAGCCCUUUCGGCUGGGACGAAAAGGUUCGGGUUAAUAACCCGGAUCCAUGACGGUACCAGCAGAAGAAGCACCGGCUAACUACGUGCCAGCAGCCGCGGUAAUACGUAGGGUGCAGGCGUUAAUCGGAAUUACUGGGCGUAAAGCGUGCGCAGGCGGUUUGCUAAGAGAGAUGUGAAAUCCCCGGGCUUAACCUGGGAACUGCGUUUCUAACUGGCAGGCUUGAGUGU
rnacentral:rRNA from 1 species